rnacentral:rRNA from 3 species
UAUGGGGUUGAUAGGACUGGUGUUCACCUCUUCCCAUCUCGAACAGAGAAGUUAAGCCCAGUUCCGUUGAUGAUACUGCAAUCACAUGCGGGAAAGUAAAUAAACCCCAAAA